UCUUAAGGAUGAGCAAAGAAAGUGGUUUCUUGAGCUGCAAUCUACUCCUGGUGAAGAUGCUGUGAA
rnacentral:pre_miRNA from 1 species